GUAAACGAUGAGUGCUAAGUGUUGGAGGGUUUCCCCAUUCAGUGCUGCAGCAAACGCAUUAAGCACUCCGCUGGGGAGUACGACCGCAAGGUUGAAACUCAAAGGAAUUGACGGGGGCCCGCACAGCGGUGGAGCAUGUGGUUUAAUUCGAAGCAACGCGAAGAACCUUACCAGGUCUUGACAUCCUUUGACCACUCUAGAGAUAGAGCUUUCCCUUCGGGGACAAAGUGACAGGUGGUGCAUGGUUGUCGUCAGCUCGUGUCGUGAGAUGUUGGGUUAAGUCCCGCAACGAGCGCAACCCUUAUUGUUAGUUGCCAUCAUUUAGUUGGGCACUCUAGCGAGACUGCCGGUGACAAACCGGAGGAAGGUGGGGAUGACGUCAAAUCAUCAUGCCCCUUAUGACCUGGGCUACACACGUGCUACAAUGGGAAGUACAACGAGUCGCUAGGCCGCGAGGUCAUGCAAAUCUCUUAAAGCUUCUCUCAGUUCGGAUUGUAGGCUGCAACUCGCCUACAUGAAGCCGGAAUCGCUAGUAAUCGCGGAUCAGCACGCCGCGGUGAAUACGUUCCCGGGCCUUGUACACACCGCCCGUCACACCACGAAAGUUUGUAACACCCGAAGUCGGUGAGGUAACCUUUUGGAGCCAGCCGCCUAAGGUGGGAUAGAUGAUUGGGGUGAAGUCGUAACAAGGUAACCA
rnacentral:rRNA from 1 species